rnacentral:rRNA from 1 species
GAACGGGGAUGCCAUUUUUGAGGCGGUUAGUUUACUAAGCGCCAAGAUGCCGGCAUCUUAGUGGCGGACGGGUGAGUAACGCGUGGGUAACCUGCCUUAUACAGGGGGAUAACACUUAGAAAUAGGUGCUAAUACCGCAUAAGCGCACGGGGCUGCAUGGCCCAGUGUGAAAAACUCCGGUGGUAUAAGAUGGACCCGCGUCUGAUUAGCUUGUUGGCGGGGUAACGGCCCACCAAGGCGACGAUCAGUAGCCGGCCUGAGAGGGUGGACGGCCACAUUGGGACUGAGACACGGCCCAAACUCCUACGGGAGGCAGCAGUGGGGAAUAUUGGACAAUGGGGGGAACCCUGAUCCAGCGACGCCGCGUGAGUGAAGAAGUAUUUCGCCCCCCCCCCCACUAUCAGCAGGGAAGAAAGAAAUGACAAAAAAAAACUUUUUUGCCCCGGCUAAGGGGGUGCCAAAAGCCGCGGUAAUACGUAGGGGGCAAGCGUUAUCCGGAUUUACUGGGUGUAAAGGGAGCGUAGACGGUUAUGCAAGUCUGGAGUGAAAGGCGGGGGCCCAACCCCCGGACUGCUUUCCAAACUGUGUAACUGGAGUGCAGGAGAGGUACGUGGAAUUCCUAGUGUAGCGGUGAAAUGCGUAGAUAUUAGGGGAAACACCAGUGGCGAAGGCGGCUUACUGGACUGUAACUGACGUUGAGGCUCGAA